GAGCCCUCUUGGGCAGGCGGCACACAUAUUGAAAUUGGAACAAUACAGAGACGUUAGCACGGCCCCUGUGCGAGGAUGAUACGCAAGUUGGUGAAGCGUCCCACUGGCUG